GACUGCGCUGGGGGAGGAAAACAGCCGAAAGAGGAGACAGGGACAGCGCGGGGACAAGGGCAGCGUCUCGGAGGCCCCGAAGGAGCGUCUGAUGAAGGACCGCGCUGACCGUGCGCGCGCGGCAGGAAGCGGCGAGGGAGAGCGCUGAGCCGCGGCCCCCACGCUGGCCCGAGGCCCGGGCUGCUGACUCCCCUGCGCUGUCCCGGGAGCUGGGGAGCCCAGGCUCGGUCAGUGGCCGGCUGGGGGCUGUAGGCAGGGGGAGCCGGGGCGGGGGAUGCGCGGCUAGGAGGACGCUGCCCCCUGCCGGCGGUGCCCGCGGGCACCUGCCACCUCCUGGCCUCCCGCGUCCAGAGCUGGUCCCUUAAACUUGGGCGGGGCCCUGCGAAACUGCCCCCGCGGGGGCUUCUGUUUCCUGUUCCGUGUUCGGUGGGGAUCGAUUUCAGCGCUGCUGUUCCCUGUGUUCACUUUGGCCCAGGCUGACAAGGAGCCCCUUGUCUGGGGCCUGGCCAUCUCGGUGGCAGAAGGUAUCCGACCUUGUCAAUUGCCAUGGACAGAACGACAAUCCGCAAGAUGUAGUCCAUGCUCUCAAGAGGAAGUCAAGGCAGAAAACCUGUGUACGUGAAGAACCAGAACCUUAUGCCAUAAAAACAUGCGUUAAGAUGACAGGAUGAUGGAGUUAGCGUCUGACAGCUGACAUCUCUUGGCACACUUGGAAAUACACCCCCUGGGAUAACUCAAUACCUCUGAAAACAGCCCUCUUAGAGCAACAAACCCGGAGGGCCCACUCUGGGCCUGGCAGACGGCUGGAAGGUUCCCGAUGAUUGAUCCUCACGCCAAGGGGCAGGGGAAAGACAUGAAAGUGGAAGGCCAGCACUCCUACCCUGCCGCACAAGAAGCAGUGGGAAUGAACGAGACAUUGGAGACGUCCUUUUCCAUGAACUUCAAAUCCUGGGAGAUGACUGGAUCAAUAGACUGUCAUUUUGAAAGCAACUAAAGGACGGGAAGGUGAUGAUAAUCAGCGGGGUGCAUGGGUUUGUCAGAUACAAAUCUUAUAACACUGAAACAAUUGCUUUCCAUCCCAAGAUAACUGGCUUUGGCUGGGGGCCAACAAAAAGGUAGAUUUAGGGGAAUAUUGAGGUUCAACGAAGAAAUCACGCUCACUUGAGCUUUCUCUGAAUCCUAACUCGGGGAAGCGGCAGCAAACACCCUAGUUCUUCUAAAUGAGGGGAGUGGUGGGGGGAAAAAGAGGAAUGAGAAACCGCAGUUCGCUCAUCUUGAGACCGUGGCUGAGUUCGCUUCCUUUCCACCUAAGGUGAAAUUCUUCCACUGAGGCAGGGUUGACCUGGGGCUGCCAAGUUGUAGAGGAAGAAUGUUUAUUGAUUGCGUUCAUGCAUUUUACAAGGAAAGAGAUGCCCGGGAUUGCUCUGAAUCUGUUUUAUGGUGUAACUGUUUCUUAGAGCAAAGUAUUUUAUUUUUAAGCAUCAGCUGUGCAGAGCCUGGUGGUCCUCAGCUGCCUCGGGCAAGUAUUUUGUUUUCCGAACUAGAAACCAAGAAAAUUUAAGGCAGAUGUGCAACCUUCCUCCUCUGUGAGCUCCCUCCCGCCCACCAGCCCAGCCCAGCCCUGAUCCGGGGUGAGACCGUGAGGAACACUCUGGGUCUGUGGUGACGGCCCUCUGCCCCAGCCUACAGGUCCCAGCUGUAGCAUGGCCUCGGGGCCGCUGCGGGGCUGUGCGGGGUUGAUUGUUUAAUCUGGUCCUGUCUGUCUGAUAUACGAGCAGGAGGAUCUGUCAGAUGGGGUUUAUCUUGCCUCACCAAUAAAUGCAAUAAAGCCU